GAAAAGAAAAAGAAGAAGAAAAGAGGUUAUAUUUGUACGAAUUGGAGCUCAAGUUUGGGGAUUUCUUCAUUUCCAAUUUCAGCUAGGUGGUGGCGAGAAAAUUGGAAACGUUUAUCAGCCAAUCUAGCUUGUAGCUCAUACCUUGUUAGUGGAUAAAACUUAUUUUUCAGAAAUAAGUCUUCUUUAAAUUUUAAAGUUAUUUAUUUU